AAGUUUGAUCCUGGCUCAGGACGAACGCUGGCGGCGAUGCCUAAUACAUGCAAGUGAUAGAACGCUGAAGGGAGGAGCCUGCUCGCCGGAUGAGUGACCGAACAGGUGAGUAACGCGUAGGUAACCUGCCUGGUGGCGAGAGGUUAACUAACCAGAACUGAUAGCUAAUACCGCAUGACAGUGGAGUAUCGCAUGAUAUCUGCUUGAAAAGGUGCAAUUGCAUCACUACCAGAUGGACCUGCGUUGUAUUAGCUGUAGUUGGUGGUAACGAGCUCACCGGCGACGGCAUAAGCCAAACCUGAGAGGGUGAUCAGCCACACUGGGACUGAGACACAUUUGAGACUCCUGCAGGAGGCAGCGGUAGAAUCUUCGGCAAUGGACGGAAAGUCCCCAGCCGAGACAACGCCGUGAGUGAAGAAAGGUUUUCGGAUCGUGAAAGCUCUGUUGUAAGAGAAGAACGAGUGUGAGGUGGAAAGUUCACACUGCUGACGGUAUCUCACCAGAAAGGACGGCCUUUACACUACGUGCCAACGCUUCGCGGUAAUACGUGGGUCCCGAGCGUUGUCCGGUUUAUUGGGCGUAAAAGACGAGCGCAGGCGGUUGAGAUGAGUCUGAAGUUAAGAAAGCUGUGAGCAACCGCCGUACGCUGAAACUGUUUAGCUUGAGUGCAAGAGGAGGUGGAAUUCCAUGUGCUUGGCGGUGAAAUGCGUAGACACAUGGAGGAGCACUUUUCGGUGGCGAGCAUGACUCUCUGGCUUGCCAACGACUACAGGCUCAGCGUCGAGCGUAAAGGGCAGGAUUGAGUACCCUGGUGGUCCACGCCGUAAUAUCGAUGAGUGCUAGGUAUGGGCCACUUUCGGGGUUUGGAGUGCCGAAAGCUAACGCAUUAAAGCACUCCGCCUGGGGAGUACGACCGCAAGGUUGAAACACAAAGGAAUUGACGGGGCACUGGCAGUGGAGCAGUAGUUUAAUUCCAAACAACGCGAAGAACCUACCAGGUCUUGACAUCCCUCUGACCUCUCUAGAGAUAGAGUUUUCCUUCGGGACAGAGGUGACAGGUGGUGCAUGGUUGUCGUCAGCUCGUGUCGUGAGAUGUUGGGUUAAGUCCCGCAACGAGCGCAACCCCUAUUGUUAGUUGCCAUCAUUCAGUUGGGCACUCUAGCGAGACUGCCGGUACAUAAACCGGAGGAGGUGGGAUGACGUCAAAAUCAUCAUGCCCUUAUGACCUGGGCUACACACGUGCUACAAUGGCUGGUACAACGAGUCGCAGAGUCGGUGACGAAAGCUAAUCUCUUAAAAGCCAGUCUCAGUUCGGAUUGUAGGCUGCAACUCGCCUACAUGAAGUCGGAAUCGCUAGUAAUCGCGGAUCAGCACGCCGCGGUGAAUACGUUCCCGGGCCUUGUACACACCGCCCGUCACACCACGAGAGUUUGUAACACCCGAAGUCGGUGAGGUAACCUGUUUGGAGCCAGCCGCCUAAGGUGGGAUAGAUGAUUGGGGUGAAGUCGUAACAAGGUAGCCGUAUCGGAAGGUGCGGCUGGAUCACUCU
rnacentral:rRNA from 1 species